rnacentral:lncRNA from 1 species
CAGCAGCCCAGGGUUUUGCCAGUACCGAUCCUGGGCGCGGACAUGGCACCACUCAAGCCAUGCUGAGGCGGCGUCCCACAUGGACCCACAACUAAAAAUAUACAGUAUCGACUCACUUAAAUCUGAUCACCACCACAGAGAGAAAGUAGACGAUGCAGCUGGGAUUAGGAUCAGGCUGUCCGGUACCAGAGCAUUUCUGCUUGACUACUACUUUGCUUCAUGACACUCCAUCUGGCGGAAGGAAGAUGUACAUAUGCAAACCAGGAAGAGAAUUCUCACCAGAACUCGACCUUGCUGGCAUCCUGAUCUCGGACUCUCCAGCCUCCAGAACUGGAAGGAGAAAAGAGUUAAGAUCAACAAUCCAUCUACUAUCAGUAAUAACUACUGUUUGAGACAACUUCCCAAAACCUCAGAAGACCUUGACAGAGCAGGACCUCUGAGGCCAGAACAUGAGACACAAUCAAUUGGCCAAUCAGUUACACUUCCCUUCCAGUGUGGCUUAGCACAACAAUGGCCCACUGUAACCAGGAAGCAGCUG